AUUGCUUCUCAGCCUUUUGGCUAAGAUCAAGUGUAAAAUUUGUUCCCAUAAACCCUUCUAAAGACAUUCCAUUCAAAAACAGUAAGAGGUGUUUAAUACAGCUAAACAGAGCUUUUCAACAUUAAUUUCUUUCACAAUGAUACCUUUU
ensembl:snRNA U2 U2 spliceosomal RNA